CUGAACCAGAGGAGCUAUUCCUGUAAGUAAAGGGAGGGACGGAGGGACUCCCAGCAGCUGCUGAAGCCCCUGAGCUCAGGGGGACUCCCACCUUCCUUCCCUGCACUGUAAGGAUCCCUCCAUCUUGGUCUACUUGGAGAAAAAGGAAACUGAAUGCAGUAAAGUUUCGGCACCUUGGCCACCUGGUAAGCUGCCCAGUGCACACUGAGAUCUUUGAUUCUACACUUCUGGUCCCCUUUGUGGGAGCACCUGGUUCCCCACCCCUAUGGGAACAUCUGUGACACCACUGAUGUAGGAGUCGCAGAUAAGCGGGAAUUGGGAACUUGGGGAGAUUUUCCCACCAUCUUGUCUGUUUUAAAGGUCCCCAUCUGUCUGCCAUGGUUUGGGGAUCCUCUAUGUUUCUCUGUCAUUAUGUUUCUUUGUUUGUACCUGUUUCUGGCCCUUUAAGACAUGGGCAAUAAGGAGUUGAUCCUAUAGAUUGUUUCUUGGGAAAGAUCUUGACUGAAUGGGCUACCUAUAGAUGUAAUUGUGACUAAGAAAAAAUCAUGUUUUACUGUGACAAUCUGGUCUUUGGUUUUCUAAAUUAUUGUACAGUUGGGAGUUGGUCUGUCAGAGAUAAAAUAAGUGUUCUGUAUAUACAGACAUGUAGGCCAUUACAUAAUAAGGAGUCUUAACAGUCAAAACUAAGUUGGAUGCAAAAGGUGCUGCCCUAAUGUGUGAGCAGCAGAACACCAAAGGAGGACUGAAAAAAAGAAGUUGUUUUCCUUUCAACCCAGAGCUGACAGUGUGAGCACCUUCUCAGCCUGGCCCCAGGCAACUUCAAAUCAUCCUGCUGUGGGUCAGGAUCACCAGUUCUUGGAUCAAAG
rnacentral:lncRNA from 1 species